rnacentral:lncRNA from 1 species
CGGAGGAGGCGGAGGCGGCGGGCAGGCCGGGGACGGGGACGGGGUCGCCGGGCCCCUUGGGUGAAUCCCCGCUGCCCCGGGGACCCCCCUCCCGGGCACCGCCGACCUCCAGCCGGCCGGCACCAUGAGGCCCCGUCCCCUGCCUCCGGGUCCCCUGCUCCCAGCCAGCGCCACCGCGGAGCCCCGGGGGCAGCGGGAGAUGGGGAGAAUGCCGCCUGGGCUGGGUGAGUUCGGGGCUCUGGUGCCGCUGGAAUUUCCCAUUGUCGCGCACGGUGGCGCAACCCCUGGACCUGCGAGUGCCUCCUCCCUCCGGAGGUGUGCGGAGGCUUUGUGUGCCAGGGAUCAGAGAGACAAGGCUGCAGGAGCCCCUUCUUCUGCUCUUACCCCACUGUUGGCAUUUGAGAAGCUAUUGGAGUUCAGUAAUCCUGACCAACUGGCUUUUUCUCCUGGACUCAUGAACAGUGUACCUAAAACAAGGCUCCUCAUCUGUCCAGGAGAGAGGGGAGAAGGGCACUGAUCCUGAAGCACUAGGUGAGGACCAGAGUUCCUGAGUGUGGGACACAGCACAGUGCCUGGCACACAGUAGAAUGGUUUGUCUCCUGGAUCUGUGACUGGGAACCUGAUUGGUGUGGCAGGAGGAUGAGACAACUUGAAGCUGAGCGAAGGUUGCUGAAUAGACUCCUUAGAG